CAGGACAAUACACGUUUACUGAGACCGAAGAGACAUAUUCAUGCACAAGCUUGCCAGUAAUACUGCCAUCCGUUGCCUCAUUUUGCAUAGGAAGAAAUCGUGUGACAGGGGCUACAAAAAUCUUCAAAUUACUAGAUUAUAAAUGUAUAAAUAUAAAUACAAUUUCUUGGUAUAUGGCUUAGAAGUCAGCUUGUAUUGAUAACUAUUACACCAGCUGGGGGCAUCAAGUUUCCUUUGUAAGUUAUUACUGCAGUGUUGCAGUUUCCUCUGAGAAACAUUCCAUCCUAAAGGGAAGCUUGGAAGACAGGUUAAACUACUCAAAAUAGCUUCAGGAUGUCCCUCAAACUGACAAGAUUGUCUAGGUCCCCUCCUUCCAAGAGUGUAUAUGCUGUAAGUGACUGCUGGGAGUCACUGUCAGACAAACCCAGCUUCCUGGAAGAAGCAGAGACCAGCAGGAUUGCCUAGAGGAGGCAGAGACCAACUGAACCCCAGGAAAGGACAUUGUGCAUGAGUGAGAAGGUGUAAUGUAUACAUCAGUGGCAUCAGUGAGAAGAUUUAUUCUCUACAUCAAUAGCAUGUGUGGGAAGAUUUAAUCGGCUUACCAAUAGAAUGCAGGAGGUUUAAUCCAUACGUCAAUCAAGUAAGAAGACAGAGAUAACAGAAGAGAUGCUUGUGACCUGUUAUUUCCUCCUUUUUUGAGACUCAUCAGUACAGUGUAGUGAAUGAUCAAAAAUACUAAAAUAUUUUGUUCUUAAAACUCAAUGUGUAAUCAAUUGCAAUGUUGGGCACUGAAUGUUUUUAAAGAGGUAGAGUAAUCAACUGUCUCCUGAUUUGAAACGAACCUAAUGAAGAGUAAAAUUUGAGUGGCAUGGUCAGAUCAAAAAUUUUUCACAAAGUUAAAUUAAAGUAAAAUGACAUUUGCCUGUAACAUGCGCUUAGUCCACUUUAAUUAAAAAGCAAACACUGAGGAGUAAAGUGUAAGAACAUUUGACCACAUUCGUGAUGCAUUAAAUUGUUGGUUAUGGGGAGCCCACAAGAGAUGACUGAUCAGACACAGUCUAUAGCCAAUUGAAAGGAUUUAUUCCAGCCAGCUGUAACUACCCUCGGGUAUUGAGAUCCUAAGUGUAGCUCAGAGUGUCCAGAGCACAGGUUUUUGAAGGCAGAAACCACAACCUUGUAUCUUGUUCAGCAGCUUCAGUGGGGGCUUCACAUAAGAAGGAAGUUUGACAGAAGCUAAGAUAAGCAGUUAGCUGUGGGUUGGGGAGAAUGUGUUUCUGUGCAAGCAAGCAGAUUAACAGAAGCUAAGAUAAAUUAGCUGGAGAACCUUAAACUUGGGUUCCUUAGAAUAGAGUGGGUAACUUUCCAUAGGAUUCCCCAUCAAGGAGAUCAAAUCGUAGCUAAACUUGAAACGGCCUCAGCAAGAAUACAAGAUGGAAUAACCUCUGAAUUGUUUUGUCCUGUCACCUUGCCACUGGUUCUAUGAACAUAAGUCACAAAGGAAGGCAUAGUUUACCAUAGAGAUCAGUAGCUUAGUUGGUUGUGCAGUUGAGGAUGAAAGGUCCCAUUAUUGGCCUGAACAGAAUAAGAAUCAGCAGUCUGGCUAAUGCUGACAGUAAGGUGGUCAGUCAUGGGGACCAGGUAAACAGAGACUGAUACCAAUUAUCUGAUUUAUGUCUUCUUUCUUCCCUUCUUUGAGGUUUUCUCUGACUAUGGCAAGGUUUUCCCAGAUUACCCAUUAUUGGUUGGCAUGGAAACAGCACAUUCUCCUAGUCCUCUCUGUUUCAAAAAGGAGUUUCUUCACUCUGCAGGACUACCUCUGCAAGGAAGUCAGCUUGGCUUUCCAGCCUUGAAACAGAAUUCUCCAAAUGACCUGGGUCUAAGUCUAUCUGGGAACCGAGUUCCCUAAAGCUUUGGUUCCCAACCAUCAAGGCUAGGGACCUAUGGCAGUUGCACUGCCUGUUCCUGUACCUACCAGGAUUGGACCAGAACUGGGGUCCAUUUGACCUUUGUCAACAUUGAGUCAAGGCCAAUAUGAGCUCUUGCCUCUUCUCCAUUAUAGGAAUACACCUGGGGGGUGCGUAACAUAUACAGUAUAUGUUAUUAUAUAGAGAGAUUUGCAGUGUGACUUUCUAUAAGUCAAAGGAGGCACAGUUAGUCAAACUGUUAAUACAGCAAGCCAGGUGAUUUGAGGGCAUGAUGCAGAUACCUUGUCCUUGGCAUAACCUGCAUAAAACUAUAAUCCCUGAAGUCCUUUUUCUAGCCAGUCUUCUCCACAACCUGAUUCACUGACUCCUGUCACUACGCUAAACCCAUAUUGUUUCACCACUGGAAGGGACACCUGAAAGACAGAGUUUCCCAUCCCUGCUUUGUCUGACAUCCUAUACUCAAGUUUGGGGUCAAUGGGGAUUGUGUACGCCCAUUCCUUACAUGAGGAAAACUGUGGUCAGUCUUAUCUUUAAGGGUCCAAGAUCCAAGCCACAGUCCAUCUAUCUUUGUCCUCAGUGGCCUUUUUCAGGAAUGUCACCCACUGCUUUGAAAGCAAAUGUGGUGUUGAGGAUGACAGGGUAAGGUCCUUCUAGACAGAUUCCAGGGUCCCAAUAGGGACCCUCUGUAUCCAAACCAAGUCUCCUGGCUGGAACUUGUGGGUGGGUUUAGAGGUAGGAGAUGGCAGGAUUCCCGUCACAGUCCAAUUAAUGCUCUGGCAAGCUCCGGCAAGGCCUGCAAGAACUUGAGAAGGGAGUGAUUAGAGAUUUCCUGCAUGGAGUUUGGGAGGAUGGGAGGUGGUCCUCCAAACAUAAUUUCAUAAAGAGUAAGCCCCUCCUGGUAAAGAGUGCAUCUGGCCCUGAACAGGACAAAGGAGAGGAGGUUGGUCCAGUUUUCUGUUUCCAGGAUCAGUUUGGUCCGGGGGUCAUUUGAUCAAUGCUGGUGAGUUCCCGAAGCUCUUCUCCUGCUCUAUUUCCCCCAUUUUCUCUCUUGUCUGUUUCUUUAAAGGCAGCAAUCACCACAUGGGAGAGUUUCCGUCACUGUCUGUCUUUGGCUGAAUCUCAACAGCUGUACCCUUUCUGAGCUACUUCCAAAAGUUGAGACUUACUCAUUCCUUCAAAUCCCUCUAAUUUCUGGAGUUUUCUCCUUAAUGCCUGGGACUGACCACAGGACAAAGGCAAUAUUAGUGGCUUGCUGGUUUAGGGGGACAUCUGGGACUAUGGAUUAAAUACCCAAAAUGUUUCACAGAGCUUUCCUUUAGUAGCCUGAGUUACCUUAAGUUAGCUGGUAGGUCUCCUGGAUGCCACUUUUAAUCCUUCCAUAAUGUUUGGUGAAAAAAAAAAAAAGGAUCCAAUGCCCUUUUAAUUUAAACUAGUUUCCAAAAGGCUGAUAAGGGCCAGUGGCCCCUCCCGCAAUGGAAGGUUUGGGGUCUUCCAAUUAUACAAGUCACUGGGAGAGAGAAGGGGACAUAAACUGUGAAUGGGGAAAAAGCUAAACUUCCACGAUUCCCCUGGCAGGACUGCAGAAUUCCCCCUUCCCUGGCACAAUUGGCUCUGGGAACUAUUUCCUUCUCCGUGCUGUGAGGUAGACAGAAUAGGCAGAAGUUUCGGGUUUCUUUGGGUGAUGGUUGGGCAAAAGGGAUUUGGGUCCCCAACAAAAGGACACAGGAUUUAAGCUCAGGGGUUUGUAUCUCACACCAGAGAAAGCCUUUGGCUAUUACAGGGAAACUGGUGACUACAGCUGUAUCUCAGGAGCCACCAGGAUUUGCAUAGCAACAACAGCAGUCGCCAGCUACCGCAUCACAGCCCCAGUUGCUAAUGGAAGGGAGCACCACAGCUCAGUGAGUAGCCUGACAUGGCCUGUGAGCCCAUGGGAAGGACCCACCACCCCUCUUGUGUCCUAACCAAAUGGCUCCUCUUACAGACAGAGCUUACCUCCAGAGGGUUUCAAACUGUCGUUUGGUAGCCUCUGAGCUCUAGGUACCAACUGGUCAGGGAGGAUUUUCUUGGGGUCCUGGUACAUCUCAGGGUGUGAAUCAUUUUUUUCUGGUAUCUUUCACGGUGUAAAAAGGGCAUGGGGAGAUCCCCCCUGACUUGAAUGUAGUGUGAUGAUCUCAUGGAAAUAUACUGUUCUGCUGGGCAAUUUUACCCAUGGACGAUGAUGAAGAUGAUUUCUUCCUAAGCUGUGCUGUUUAACUAAAGCAAUAACUUUAUACAAUAAUAGCCUUAGUAGAAAUAGAAUUUUGAUGACUAAGGGCUUUAACAAAUAUAGUGAGGGAUUAUGAUAGAGGUUAGUUUAGUGAGAUAAUUAAUGCAGGCAAAGGUAGGAUAUAGUGUGGCCCCACCCCUGAGAAAGCAGGGCUGCAGGGGACAGAAAAUAAGAACAAGGAAGUGUCACACGACUAGUUUCUCUUGAGGAGACUGUGGCUUAGGUUAAUAAUUAAGAAAAACAGUUGUGUCCCAGAAGUUAAAUUAUCUCAAGUUCUUUUAAUCUUAAUGUUGAGAGAUAUGUUCAUGGAUUUCGGUGUGCAUCAUAGCUGAAAUAACGCUUUAAAUAUGACUUAAGAUUAGGUUAAGAUGUUUUCGUUAGUAGCUUUGAGGUUAAAAAAAGAAAACCUUGGGAAACAAUCUAAAGUAUAGAAAGGCACAUAGUUGAGUGAGGAACACAUUAAGGUCAGGGAACAAGAACAAAGCAACCCAAUUAUUAUUGGCUGAUGUGCCUUUCUUGCUAGGAUGGUUUGUCGAUCAAAGACGACAAUUCCGUGUGCGAAUUUCUGCCCUCAGCUUCUUCAUACCAAAAAAAAAAAAAAAAAAAAGAAUAUUCAUGAGUGGGUAUGCACAGUGAGGAUUUAAAAUAGAGCUGACUGAUUGUUUUCCAUAUAUAAAAGUUUAGGUUUGUGAGUCUUCCAAGAUUCCUUAUAAGAUUAUCUUUUGAGAUAAGUAAUAAAAUAACUGGUCCUUUCUUUGUAACUGAAAAAUGCAUCCUGCCAGCAAGAGAACUGGCUGAGAAAAAUGCCUUGUUUGCUUACACUCUGUUAAUCUAUUGCGGGUUGCUUGGUUAUGAAUGUGUGUGGGUUCUUGGGACAAUUUGUUUGUCGCAUGUAAUAUAUAAAAUGUUUAAUCAUGUAAAGAACAUGUUGUUUUUUACUUGUAUUCAUUGCAAUCAUUCACUUGAAAAAUAGAAUGUAAACACAUUGUAAUUUUUAAAUUGCUUGAAAUUUUUUGAUGGGCUAUAUAAGCUUUAAGGGAAAAAACAAUAGAGACACUAGCUAGAGAACAGAGAAAGACCCUAAGAGUGUGUGCAGUUUUUCUUCUUUCUAUCCAGCUCCAGAGAGUUACUGGCCCCUGAGAAUUAAGUUUUACUCCCUCAGAUAGAAAAGUCAAGUUGAGUGAUAGUCCUCAGGCUCCACUGGCUACCCCUUGAACCCCGAGCUGCUGGAAGCUGGUUCUCAUGGCAGCGAUCGGUUCUCACUGGGAUUUCUCUGGAUAUCCUGCUCUUGACCUGUGUCAUGGAGAUCCUUUAACUUUAGGUCUGCAGGACCAGUUCCUUAACGUGCUCCAGCAAAUCAUCAACGGGGCAAACGAUGGGUUGGGCCAACUCAUAGUCCUUCCUGGUUCUGGGUCUGGGUGGUUGCUGGGUUGAUCAGCCCGCCAGCUCUUCCUCAUCCUCACCACCAGGGGGAGCUCCCCAGCACCACCCAAGCUAGCUCACCCUGCGUAGUAGGCAGCAAGGGGCAAGGCCAAUUCUCCCACUCUCAUGUCUUCAGGGUCAGCUUUCCCACACCUGCACCACCAGGGCCAGCUCUACUGUGUUGCCGAGGCGAGGUGCAGGGGCCGAUCUGCUCAGUGCUGCAGCCGAGAGAUGCUAGGCCUGCUCACUGGCUCUCAUGCCCUCAGGGCUAGCCCACCUCCACCCCGGCCAACAGGGUCAGCUCUGGCCCCAGUGAGGCACAGGGCCUGCUUGCUCUCUCCAGUGCUGCAGCCGAUGAGGGGUAGGAUCAGUUCUCCCUAGUGUGGCAGCCAGUGAGGGGCGGCUCCAACUCUGUGCAGCGCUGUCCUCUCAGCCUUCAGGGGUAACAGGAGCCAAGGACAUCAAUGCAGACUGAGGAUGCAGAUGGGCAACAGUGCGGACAUGGCCCUUGGCCACCGCCCAGGCCUGAACGGUUUGCAGAUGACCUCAUACACAGGGUCACAGAGUCCAGAAUAGAAUACACUGCUCCUCCGCUGUCUGGAUUUCCUUCCCUGCUCAUUGGUGGUAUGUGUGGUCAUUGGGAAAGUCCCCUGGUGCCUUAAUUUCUUACAUGGCAGGAGGAGCCCAAAUGCAGCUUCAAGGGUGUCUAACUACAAAGGACCACUGCAGCACCAGGAGACACAGCCACCAGGUCACAGCCGUAGUCCCCUUGACUCCCUCCCGGGUCAGGAUGUACCUAACUAGAGAAAGAUGGGUGUGCAUGACCCCGUCUCCCUCCGGCUCUUAGCUGCUUAGCUGCGUGCUCCUCACAGUUGCAGACUUCACUGUUAUUAAUGAUUUACAGAUCUGAUUUUCUCUGAAAGGUUUUCCUACGUGAUUUGUUUUCUAAGACUUUUCACAAAAUGAGUUGUCCUUUGGGUAUUUGUACAUAGAAAAUUAUUACUAUCAAGUAUUAAAACUGUAAUCCUGGAAAAUAGGAAUUGAGAAUGUAUCUGGGGCAUGAUAAUAUGUGCUUCAGUUUAAAUAACCCAACUUGAAAUUGAGUGAUUAGAGUAUAUAGAUGUCUACUUUUAAAGAUAUUUUAUAUCUCCUUGUAAAGUCAAUUCAAUAUUCUUACUCCGUCAUUUUCUUGGAAAAUUUGGCUAACUUUUAGAAAAGGGGACAUUAGAAAGAUCUAUCUUUUUUUUUUUAAAUUUAAAUUCUCCAAGUGUGGGAAGAAGAAAUGACGGGCAAACUAGAGCAGAAAGGACUAGGGGAACGGUGGGAAGCAUUAAGCCUUGCCUUAGCCUGCUUUCCUGUCACUUAAACAGAAAACUUUCAAAGAAAGAAGCUCAUCUCUGCCAGUUCUGGAGCUGUGAAGCCCAGUUCCAAGAAGCCAGCGUUCGCCCGGAAUCUGCCCGUGCAUCGUGUCCUGGGGGAGAUGUCACACGACCAGAGCUCAGGGUAUGUAGGAUUUUGUAGGUGCCAUUCAAACCACUCAGUCAUUUCCAGUAACCACGCGCUUCUGGUGUCAGUCAAGAGCAAGGGCUUCCAUCAGUGUUCUACAGCCCAGCAGAGUGAUGGCUGUGGGUGGGGCUGGGGAGCAGAGGGAUGGAGAGAUGAGGACUCCGCAGUUUUCCUGUUGCAGGGAGGGUGUCAAAAUGACUUUCUAAGGAGGAUCUUCUUUUACUCAAGAGACAGUUUUGAUGCUCACUUUUGUGGUAAUUGUGACUUUUGGUGCUAAUGACAUGUGACUCUGUUCCAUAACAUGGGAUCUCCUUCACUGCAGUCUACAAUGGUCUUCUCCAACUUGUAUCAAAGCUAUGGCAUCCAAAGAAUGGGAUCUCAUGAGUCUAUGUGAUAUUUCAGUAUUUCAAUAGAGUUGGUUCCUCCUAUUGGCUAAGUUAUGAAGCCCCCUAAUGAAUAAAUGAACUGGAAAUGUGGCUAAUAAAACACUGUAUGUACACUGUCACACACACACACACACACACACACAGAGAGAGAGAGAGAGAGAGAGAGAGAGAGAGAGAGAGAGAGAGAGAGAGUAAACGCAUACUCCACAUUGUGGCUGUAGCUUUCACAGUGUUCUUUCCUUAAAUAGAGUACUCUCAUAACUCUUUUUGUUGUGCUCUGUACUGUUUCUGAGAUAGAGUGGCCCAUUAGUUCAGGCUGACCUCUAACUCUCUGUGUAUCUGAAAAUGACCUUGAGCUCCUAAUUCUCUUGCAUCCACCUCCCAGGUGAUGGGAUUCUAGUUGUGCACCACCCACUUCUGGUCAGCAUGUAGAGAAUAAGAGACUAUAAAGUGCUCCACACUAAUUGGGACUUCUGCCUCCUAUUGCAUCCCAACCAAGGUUCAGGCAUCAUCACAGAAUAGGAGGCAGAAUGACAGUAAAACCAGAAGUGAUGGUUAACUACAGGAAACACUGUCUCCUGGACAUAACAGGCCAAUUGCACAUAUGAACUUACACCAUGUAUGAUAGCCUUUGCCAGACCUUCAAAACUCAAGUCAGACAAAAGAUUUUGAGGGUAGGUGGGCAUGAAGUUCCAUGUCCAAUUGGAGGGCGGUAUUGGCAGCUGAUGACUGCUAUGGGUGAGAGAGUCAGUUUUCUUCAAGGAUACAGUUCCUAAGAGGCCACCUAUGCUCCAGGACAUGGCCUACACCAAUGCACACACUGGCAAGGCUGCCUGUACUCUGUGGGAAUCAAACCCAAAACUUUAAAGGGUUUAAGUCCCUUCUUACACUACAGGAGUGAACAAGGAAAACAAAGACUUGCUUAUACCUACCACAAAUAACUGGCUCUGUCAAAUCCUCCCUCUACUUAUCAAAGUCCCCCCACUUUCCCCAGACCCUUUGAAAAGAUUACAAUAAAGCUUAUUUGGCGGCUCUUAGAGUUUUCUGAUUUUUUUAAAAUAUCAGAAUAUUGGUCUUUAUUUUAUGUGUCUGGUUGUUUUGCUUGCAGGUAUGUCAUUUGUUUAGUUGUUGCCCUUGAAGGCAAAAGAGGGUAUCAGAUGCCCUGGAUCCGGGGUUAUGGUAUGGACAUCACUGCCAUUUGAGCUCGGGGAAUUGAAUCCAGGUCCUCUGAAAGAGCAGCCAGUCCUCUUAACCACUGAGCCAUCCCUUCUGCCUGAGUUUUCUGAUUUAAAAAGUCUGUUAAUUUCAUAGUUUCUGACAAGCAUCCUUAAAAAGUUGUGAUUCAUAUUCUUGACACAAUACAGAAAGAUAAAAUUUACACAACUGUGGUAUUAUAUAAAGAAGCUCAGUUACAUCACAGACUCUCAUACUAUAUUCUAUGACCAUUUUAGACUCAUUUUCUCCCUUCUGCCUGUCUCUCUCUCCAUCCAUCCCUAAGUCUUGGCAGCCUUCAUAUUUGUCUCAUGUCAGUCUUCCACAUUUCUGUCACUCAGAUUUCAAGUCUCUGGGAGACAGGGUGCUUGCUGAUUCCACCAGUGCUCAGCGCUAGAAUGCCGAGGAGCUGAGUUGUAGUGUUUCUGUUCUGUAGAGAAGUUUGGACCACACAGGAUACUUUAUAGAGAGUCUCUCUGAUGUCCCUUUCCCUGUAGGUGUAAAAUAUCCUUUCUUCAGGGUCUUGUGACUAAAGCUGAA
ensembl:lncRNA